GCUCUGGUUCUUGCUUUGGUUUUUAAUAGAAAACUAACUGACUUUUUACAGGCUAAGGGAAUCACUUGCGCUGUAAGUUUUUAAAAGAAGAACAUUCUUUCUGUUCCAUUGCUCUUACUGGUUCUCGGUUUUUAACUUUCAAGAGACUAAAAACUGCUGUGUAGGCGGCAGCUGUUGCUCCGAGUCUGAAGAUGUUACAUUCAACAAUUUGAUGGGGAUGUCGAGAAUCUUAGUGAUAGUGUACGCCAAAAGAUUGACAUGGAAUUGUUCAACAGAGAAAAUCUUGAUUUUGUUUCCCUGCUU